GUUCUAUAUAGGCCCUGAGGCCCUUUGGUGCUUAUCUCUGGAUUCCCUAGUGCGAAGCGGAUGACUGUCUACACUCCACUUAAACAGGACACCAGUCUGACACAGUUUACGUUCCCAGCCAACACCAGUACCCAUUUACAGUGAAUGCAGAUGAAGUGUCUUGUCCAAGGACACAGAUUGGUAGCAUGAGCGCUGCUCACUGAGUGAGAUUCAACCCCAGGAUCACAUAUUGGCAGGCCGGCAUAUUUUUCCACUGAGCUACAUCCUCUACAGGCAGGUAAUGGUAAUUCUAACAAUAAAUAUGUAGAUGACACUGUUGAUAACACUUCUAUACUCUUAUUAAUACGUAAUAAUGUUAAGUGUUCUAAAAGGCUUAUAAAGGCCUUAUGACUAAUUAACUAAUGGUUAUUGCAUUGCAUUGAUUUAAACUGAGGUGUACUUUCUACACAUAUCGAUGAGUGUCAAUGCCCUAUAGUUCCAAAUACACCAGUCGGGACACAUCACCACAUCCAAUGAAACGGUAACUACAAACAUAACACUUUUAUUGACCUUUAUCUUGAAUCAGUUACAUAAAUGAGAAUUGUGUAUUAUUAUUUUUUUUUUUAAUCGGGUGUAUAUAUAGGCAUGCUGCGUCACGGCACAGUCACAGCUGUGAAAACCAAUAUUACCCCCGUCAGCUGUCCCAGCGGAACAGUCUGAAGGCAAG